GCGGGCUUAGCUCAGCUGGCUAGAGCGCUUCCUUGCCAAGGAAGAGGUCGAGGGUUCGAAUCCCUUAGCCCGCUCCA
rnacentral:tRNA from 1 species